UCAUUGAAAUCAAGCACAAAGAAUCGCUGCACAUUACAAACAUAACACAUUAGAUUGGCUAAAGUUAGAUAUGUUUCAAAUGAAAUCAUAUAUAAAUGUGUAGUGCAUUUAAUUACCUGGAGGUCGCCCUUGACGACCUCAAUUUAGAAAAAAGAACAUGAAAUAUUUGUAAGUUAAAAUGAAGAAAAUUCUUAGACUCACCCGUAUUGUCGCCCACAGAUGAUGACCCUCCCGCGAUGUUAUUAUCUAAAUCGUCCUCAAACUGGAGGAACAUAUCGUCCGUCUCCAUAAAAUUUGAUGGUCGAUAUGACAUAAUGGCUAUGGACAUAGAAAACAAACAUUUUCAAUUUAACUUAAACCUCCCUCUCCCCAGAUAAGUAGUAAUUCCAUUUCAUAAUAAUUACACGACCACUGUACACAAGAUAAUCUUCCCCAUAGAAUUUCUAUCAGAUCAAGACAUCUCGGUAUAGACUUAAGCAUAUUCAAAAAUCUCAUGCUAAAACUUUAACUUUCUUAAGUUAGCAUGCUUAUGAAAAAAGAAACUCUUGCAUUAAGCAAGUCUCAAAUCUAGCUUUGCUUUAAAUUAUCUCUUUGCUCUAAUAUUUUCAGAAACUUAGCAUUCUAACACAUUCAAUAAACACCCCCCCCAAUUCAAUAUAACCUCAAAAAUCUCUACACAUUCAAAUUUUUUAUCAAUCUCAAAUUCAAUUUCAACUUCAAUCUCAACGUCAAUCUUAAAUCCUAAAACCACUUCAAAUUCAAAUUCAACACUAAAACCUAAAACUAAUUCAAAAUCUAUAUCCUAAAACUAUUUCAAAAUCUAAAUUCUAAAACUAAUCCUAAAACUAAUUAACUAAAGCAAAACUAAAACAAAAACAAAAAAGAACUUUAAACAAUUUCAAUAAUACAUACAUUUUUUUAACUUUGAAACAAAAAAAAAAACAAAAAAACAAACAAACCCGAAACUAAUUUUUAUCAAAAAAAACCCUAAAAAAACUAAAUAAAUUUACAUAUUUCACUUACCUAAAGUGGCAGACGGCGACGAGGAACAACGGCGAGGCGGUCGGCGACGGACGGCGGCGGAACAAAAGGAAAGCACGGCCGGGCGACGUUCUUCUUCUUCUCCUUUCUUUUUCUCCUCUCCUCUCGGCUUCGGUUCUGUGAAUACAGAACUGAAACGAAUUUAAAGGGGAUUUCCCGACGCAGUGACGUGGCGUCGGGAAAUCCCUCAAAAUGCGUCGGGAAAAGGGGAAUUCCCGACGCUCAUUAAACCCCUUUUCCCGACGUUUAACGCGGCGUCGGGAAAAACCCCUAUUCCCGACGCCGCUCCCGACGCACUGUUCACGGCGUCGGGAAAAACCCCUUUUCCCGAUUUACUUUUUGCCGACGCCUUCAUGUUGCGUCGGGAAAAAAGGUUUUCCC